AUUGAACGCUGGCGGCAGGCCUAACACAUGCAAGUCGAACGAGUGGCGGACGGGUGAGUAAUGUCUGGGAAACUGCCUGAUGGAGGGGGAUAACUACUGGAAACGGUAGCUAAUACCGCAUACCAUCGGAUGUGCCCAGCUGGGAUUAGCUAGUAGGUGGGGUAAAGGCUCACCUAGGCGACGAUCCCUAGCUGGUCUGAGAGGAUGACCAGCCACACGGGAACUGAGACACGCGCCAGAGUCCUACGUGAGGGAGCAGUGGGGAAUAUUGAACAAUGGGCGCAAGCCUGAUGCAGCCAGGCCGAGUGUAUGAAGAAGGCCUUAGGGUGGUAAAGUACUUUCAGCGGGGAGUCGUUACCCGCAGAAGAAGCACCGGCUAACUCCGUGCCAGCAGCCGCGGUAAUAC
rnacentral:rRNA from 1 species